rnacentral:rRNA from 1 species
AGUGAACGCUGGCGGCGUGCUUAACACAUGCAAGUCGAACGAGAACGGGUUAUAGCUUGCUAUAAUUGUCAGCUAAGUGGCGCACGGGUGAGUAAUGUAUAGGUAAUAUGCCUCUUACUAAGGGAUAACAAAUGGAAACGUUUGCUAAUACCUUAUACUCCUUAUUAACAUAAGUUAAUAAGGGAAAGAUUUAUUGGUAAGAGAUUAGCCUGUAUUGUAUCAGUUAGUUGGUGGGGUAAUGGCUUACCAAGACUAUGACACAUAACUGGUUUGAGAGGAUGAUCAGUCACAGUGGAACGGAGACACGGUCCAGACUCCUACGGGAGGCAGCAGUGGGGAAUAUUGCACAAUGGACGAAAGUCUGAUGCAGCAACGCCGCGUGGAGGAUGACACAUUUCGGUGCGUAAACUCCUUUUAUAUGAGAAGAUAAUGACGGUAUUAUAUGAAUAAGCACCGGCUAACUCCGUGCCAGCAGCCGCGGUAA